AACGAACGCUGGCGGCAGGCUUAACACAUGCAAGUCGAACGCGUGUAGCAAUACACGAGUGGCGCACGGGUGAGUAGCACGUGGAUUAUCUGCCUCUUGGUUCGGAAUAACCCCGGGAAACUGGGGCUAAUACCGAAUGGUUCCUACGGGAUAAAGAUUUAUCGCCAAGAGAUGAGUCCGCGUCCGAUUAGCUAGUUGGUGGGGUAACGGCCUACCAAGGCGACGAUCGGUAGCUGGUCUGAGAGGACGAUCAGCCACACUGGGACUGAGACACGGCCCAGACUCCUACGGGAGGCAGCAGUGGGGAAUAUUGGACAAUGGGGGCAACCCUGAUCCAGCCAUGCCGCGUGAGUGAUGAAGGCCUUCGGGUUGUAAAGCUCUUUUGGCGGGGACGAUGAUGACGGUACCCGCAGAAUAAGCCCCGGCUAACUUCGUGCCAGCCGCCGCAGUAAUAC
rnacentral:rRNA from 1 species